rnacentral:lncRNA from 1 species
GUUUGGGAAGCUACUGUCCCAAUGACUGAUUUACAAAAAGCACUCAGUAAACAUACUGUUGUUAUUAGAAAUAAUGAGUCAGGGAAGCAAAAGGAAUGAGAAUUGCUGUAGCAGACGCUUUUGAUGCCCUUGGUCCACCUCUGAGAUCAGCUGCAGCUGUGAUGUGCAGUUCCUUUGCACAGCACUCCCCCAUCUCUCCACUUUGAUGCCUUACGGAGCCCUCACAGCCCACACAGGACAGCCUGAAAGUGAGGGGGAAAGCGAAGGCUCCAGAGGAGCAAGUUUCAGCCAGUGGGGAAUGGGGGUCUAUGGUUAAAUGCCCCAGCCUCCCACCCUCCACAGGGGCAAUUCUGAGCCCUCCACGGAUUGAGCCCCGGGUGCCCGCACCAGUCACCACAUCAAUAAGACACUUUCCACUGGCUCUUCCUCCUUCCCCAUCUCACUCUCCCUGCUCCUCAUUCCUGCCUCACAGGGUCACUUCCCGAAUAUACCUCCCGCACCAGAACCCUGACUCGGGCACUGCUCUCAGAGGAACUCAAAAUAAGACAACUGCAAAGCCAGUGGAGAUGGAUUUGGAUGCUGGGAGAACUGUGAAGCAAGGUUCUAGAGAGGUGCAGGGACCACACACCAGAGCUCAGAGAACCCCUGGGCCGUCCCGACGAACGAGGCCUGAGAGAGGAAAGAAGAGAGGGGACCUCAGGAAGAAGGCAAUCCUUCAAGGAAAACUUGACACGGAAAAGAGAACAAGGACAAGAAGAGGAAUCUACUAAGAUGGAAGAAUGAUAAGAUCAACAAGGAAAAGAAAGAAAGAGAGAAGCAGGAAGGAAGGAAGGAAAGAAGAAGGAAAAGGAAGAAAGAAAGAUAGAAGAAAGAAGGAAGGAAGGAAAGAAGGAGAAAAAAUAAAGGAAGAGAGAGAGAGAAUGGGGAGUGAAAAGAGAAGAAAUGUAGAGAGAGUUAAACAUCACCUGUCUUAGUGUGUUCGGGCUGCCGUAACAGAAUACCAUGGUCUGGGUGGCUUCUAAAUAACAGAAAUGUACUUCUCACCCUUCUGGGGCCUGGAAGUCCAAGAUCAAGUUGCCAGCAGAUUCCAUGUCUGAUGAGGACCCACUUCCUGGUGCACUGACCACAUCUUUCUCUGCGUCCUCAGAUGGUGGACCAAGCAAGGGAGCUCUAUGGGGUCUCUUUUACAGGGGCACUAAUCCCACUCAGGAGGGCUCCAUCCUCACGAUCUAAUCAUCUCUCAAAGGCCCCAUCUCCAAAUACCAUCACGCUGGAUGUUAGGAUCGAACAUAAGAAUUCAGAAGAACAUAAACAUUCGAUCUAUGGCAUCAUCUUAUGAUAACUUAUUGGAGGAAAGAUGAGGCCAAAUCAAAGGAGUCGCAAUUAUUGAAUAUUUUCUGCAAAAAAAUGUCUUUUCCAAUAAUGGGACAUCAUUUGAGACAAUGAAGGAAAUUUGAAUAUGGAUUCCGUUCUAGAAUAUGGGUCUGCAGAGGAUGGUGAAUAAGAGCAUGAUCUUUCAAAUCAGUCUGCACGGCUCCAAAUCUCAGCGCUGCUUUCUAACUGUGUGACCUUGAGCAAGUAACAAAACCUCUCUGUGCUUUCAUUUUCUC